GUUUCGGAUNUUGGGCGUAAGCGAGCGCAGGCGGUUUUGUAAGUCUGCUGUGAAAGCCCUCAGCUCAACUGAGGAAGUGCAGUGGAAACUACAAAACUUGAGUACAGAAGAGGAAAGUGGAACUCCAUGUGUAGCGGUGAAAUGCGUAGAUAUAUGGAAGAACACCAGUGGCGAAGGCGGCUUUCUGGUCUGUUACUGACGCUGAGGCUCGAAAGCAUGGGUAGCGAACAGGAUUAGAUACCCUUGGGUAGUCCA
rnacentral:rRNA from 1 species